GUAGGUGACGUGCCCUGCGGUCGGGGAUAGCUUAGGGAAACUUAAGGUAAUACCCGAUAAUCCCAUGAGGUUUGAAGACCAUAUGGGCAAAGGUGUGAUUCCACCACAGGAGCGGCUUGCGUGGUAUUAGCUAGUUGGUGAGGUAACGGCUCACCAAGGCUGCGAUGCCUAGGGGAUGUUAGCGCAUGAUCCCCACCACUGGGACUGAGAUACUGCCCAGACACCUACGGGUGGCUGCAGUCGAGAAUCUUCGGCAAUGGGGGCAACCCUGACCGAGCGACGCCGCGUGUGGGAUGAAGGCCCUUGGGUUGUAAACCACUGUCAGAGGGGAUGAAAUGCCAGAGAGUUAUCUCUCUGGUUUGACAUAGCCUCAGAGGAAGCACGGGCUAAGUUCGUGCCAGCAGCCGCGGUAAGACGAACUGUGCAAACGUUAUUCGGAAUCACUGGGCUUGAAGAGUGCGUAGGCGGUUUUGUAAGUAGGGUGUGAAAGCCCCCGGCUCAACCGGGGAAUUGCGCCCUAAACUGCAAGGCUG
rnacentral:rRNA from 1 species